rnacentral:rRNA from 1 species
AUGGAGGACGGCCUCGCUCCGCCCGCGCGCCGGGCGCCGAUCAAAUGCCCCACCGCCGCCGCCGAGGACGUGGACCAGCUGCCCACCCCGACGGUGACCUCCGAGGAGUUCCUCCAGUUCAAGAGGAAGGCCACCACGAUCGUGGAGGAGUACUUCUCCACGGACGACGUGGCCGCCACGGCGAGCGAGCUGAGGGAGCUGCGCGUGCCCUGCUACCACUACUACUUCGUCAAGAAGCUCGUCUCGGUGGCCAUGGACCGCCACGACAGGGAGAAGGAGAUGGCGGCCGUGCUGCUCUCCUCGCUCUACGGCGACGUCAUCGACCGCCCGCAGGUGUACAAGGGCUUCUGCAAGCUCGCCGAGUCCUGCGACGACCUCUCCGUCGACACGCCCGACGCCGUCGACAUCCUCGCCGUCUUCGUCGCCCGCGCCAUCGUCGACGACAUACUGCCCCCGGCGUUCCUGGCGAAGCAGCUGCCGUGCCUGCCCGACGGCUGCAAGGGCGCCGAGGUCAUCCGCAGGGCGGAGAAGAGCUACCUGUCCGUGCCGCACCACGGGGAGAUCAUCCUGCAGAGGUGGGGCGGCAUCAAGAACAUCACCGUGGAUGAGGCCAAGGCCAGGAUCGCCGACAUCCUGGAGGAGUACCUCGCCGCCGGCGACACGGCCGAAGCCUUCCGGUGCAUCAGGGACCUCCAGAUCCCCUUCUUCCACCACGACGUCGUCAAGCGGGCGCUCGUUCUCGCCAUCGAGCGCGGCGGCGCGGCCGAGGGCCACAUCCUGGAUCUCCUCAAGUCGGCGUCGGACCAAGGUGUCAUCAACGAGAGUCAGAUCAUCAAAGGCUUCAACCGUAUGAUCGACUCCGUUGACGACUUGACGCUCGACGUGCCAAACGCGAGGUGUCUCCUGAAAUCCAUAAUCCUGAAAGCUUCGUCGGAGGGCUGGCUGUGCGCGUCGUCCCUGAAACCGUUGGGGUCGGAGCCGAAGAAGGUCGUCGAGGACGACCCCGCUGUCAAGAGGUUCAAGGCGAAGGCCGUGGCGAGCAUACACGAGUACUUCUUGACAGGGGACAUCAUCGAGUCGGUGAGCCGGCUGGAGGCUGAGAACAGCUCAUGCUCCUGCUUUUUCAACGCAAUCUUCGUCAAGAAGCUCAUCAGCUUCGCCAUGGACCGGAAGAACCGCGAGAAAGAGAUGGCCUCCGUGCUGCUGUCCUCGAUCUGCAUGCCGCCGGAGCACGUCGUCGCUGGGUUCCACCUCCUGAUCGACUGCGCCGAAGACGCCGCGCUGGACAACCCCGCCAUCGUCGAGGACCUGACCAUGUUCUUUGCCAGGUCAGUGGUCGACGAGGUUAUAGCGCCGUCGGACUUGGAGGCGAUGGAGGAAGAGGCCGGCCGCCGAAAAGCCGCAGGCUCCCCAGGGAUGUUGGCUCUGCGCAACGCCCACGCCAUGCUCGGAGCAAAGCUCUCCGCGGAGCGGAUCCUGCGGUGCUGGGGCGGCGGUGGCACCGGCAAGGCCGGCUGGGAGCUGAGCGAGGUGAAGGACAAGAUCGGGAAGCUGCUGCAGGAGUACGACAGCGGCGGCGGCGUCCGGGAGGCGUGCCGGUGCAUCAAGGAGCUCGGGAUGCCAUUCUUCCACCACGAGGUGGUGAAGAAGGCGCUGGUGGCGAUCAUCGAGAAGCGGGGCAAGGACGAGCGCCUCUGGGGGCUGCUCAGCGAGUGCUACGGCCGCGGCCUGAUCACGCCGAACCAGAUGACCAAGGGCUUCCAGAGGGUCGCCGACUGCGUCGACGACCUCGCGCUCGACGUGCCGGACGCCGGGAAGCAGCUCGGCUGCUACGUCGAGCGCGCCAAGAAGGGGGGAUGGCUGGACGCGUCCUUCUCCGUUGCCAAGCCGGGGCCAGAUGUCAUUGCCGUUUGCUCGUGA